rnacentral:tmRNA from 1 species
GGGGACGACUGGUUUUGACAGCAAGGUCAGUGAAAUUGUAAGCAUACCGAGGACUGAAAUAAUGCUCGUUAAACUUAUUUCAAACAUUUAAACGGCGAAGAUAACUACGCUUUAGCUGCAUAAUCUGAAUUAAUAGUAAGAUUGGCCUCGGCACACAAGGUGUGCAAGCUUUAUGUCCACGAAAAGCCUUGGUUUAUGGCGUUUCAUUUUUGGGCAUCGUAAAAAUAAACAUAGAAAACUUGGUGCUUCAACAAGUUUUUGAAAUUUUAGAAGAUACGUUUGUAAUAGGCUGUUUUUGGUCGGUUACAUUCCGAAAAUCAAACAAAAACUAAGUAUGUAGAAAGCUUUUGAGCUGCUUGUUUGGACCCGAGUUCGAUUCUCGGCGUCUCCACUA